ACGCUUGAAGUCAGUCGCGUUGGCUAGAAAUCAGCCUUGCUCUUGCUUGGUGUACUUUCUGGUUGACGGGUCAGCAUCAAUUUUGACCAUCGGACAAAGCCAUUGGGAAUGUGGCAUCUUAGGAUGUGUUAUAGCCCGGUGUCGCAUACGGUGGUUGGGAUUGAGGAACUCAGCACGCCUGCAAAGGCCGGGUUUCGACCACGUUCGUGCUUAGGAUGCUGGCGUAAUGGCUUUAAUCGACCCGUCUUGAAACACGGACCAAGGAGUC
rnacentral:rRNA from 1 species